rnacentral:rRNA from 1 species
UACGUAGGGGGCAAGCGUUGUCCGGAAUCAUUGGGCGUAAAGAGCGUGUAGGCGGCUCGGUAAGUCCGCUCUGAAAGCCCGGGGCUUAACCCCGGGUCGGCAGUGGAUACGGGCAGGCUAGAGGUAGGUAGGGGAGAAUGGAAUUCCCGGUGUAGCGGUGAAAUGCGCAGAUAUCGGGAGGAACACCGGUGGCGAAGGCGGUUCUCUGGGCCUUACCUGACGCUGAGGAGCGAAAGCGUGGGGAGCGAACAGG